GACAGAGGGGGCAAGCGUUGCUCGGAAUCACUGGGCGUAAAGGGCGCGUAGGCGGGAUGGCAAGUCAGUCGUGAAAUCCCUCGGCUCAACCGAGGAACGUCGAUCGAUACUGCUGUUCUUGAGGAUUGCAGAGGAGACUGGAAUUCCCGGUGUAGCGGUGAAAUGUGUAGAGAUCGGGAGGAACACCGGUGGCGAAGGCGGGUCUCUGGGCAAUUCCUGACGCUGAGACGCGAAAGCGUGGGGAGCACACAGG
rnacentral:rRNA from 1 species